AACUCCUUCGGGAGAUAUAAAGCGGCGGACGGGUGAGUAAGGCAUAGAUAAUCUGGUCCAGAAUGGGGAAUAACCGGUCGAAAGGCUGGCUAAUACCGCAUACUCUAGCUGAGUGAAUAUCAGUUAGGAAAGGCUUCGGCCGUUUUGGAAUGAGUCUAUGUAGGAUUAGGUAGUUGGUGGGGUAAAAGCCUACCAAGCCUACGAUCCUUAACUGGUCUGAGAGGAUGAUCAGUCACACUGGAACUGAGACACGGUCCAGACUCCUACGGGAGGCAGCAGUGAGGAAUUUUGCGCAAUGGGGGAAACCCUGACGCAGCGACGCCGCGUGGAGGAUGAAGUAUCUCGGUAUGUAAACUCCUGUCAGUGGGGAUGAUGAUGACAGUACCCACAGAGGAAGCACCGGCUAACUCCGUGCCAGCAGCCGCGGUAAGACGGAGGGUGCAAGCGUUGUUCGGAAUUACUGGGCGUAAAGCGUACGUAGGCGGUAGAUUAAGUCGAAUGUUAAAGCCUGAGGCUCAACCUCAGAGAUGCAUUCGAUACUGGUUUACUAGAGGGUGAUAGAGGAAAGCGGAAUUCCGAGUGUAGCGGUGAUAUGCGUAGAUAUUCGGAGGAACAUCAGUAGCGAAGGCGGCUUUCUGGGUCACACCUGACGCUGAGGUACGAGAGCGCGGGGAGCAAACAGGAUUAGAUACCCUGGUAGUCCACGCCGUAGACGAUGAUAACUAGCUGUUCGGGCUCUACGAGCUUGAGUGGCGCAGCUAACGCAUUAAGUUAUC
rnacentral:rRNA from 1 species